rnacentral:rRNA from 1 species
CCAAUAGCGUAUACUAAAGUUGUUGCAGUUAAAAAGCUCGUAGUUGAAUUUCGGGGUCAGUAGAUUGGUCAUGCCACUGGUAUGUACUGGUCUCACUGAUUCCUCCUUCCUGAUGAGCCGUAAUGCCAUUAAUUUGGUGUUGCGAGGAAUCUGGACUGUUACUUUGAAAAAAUUAGAGUGUUUAAAGCAGGCUAACGCUUGAAUACAUUAGCAUGGAAUAAUGAAAUAGGACGUUCGAUCUUAUUUUGUUGGUUUCUAAGAUUGACGUAAUGAUUAAUAGGGAUAGUUGGGGGCAUUAGUAUUCAAUUGUCAGAGGUGAAAUUCUUGGAUUUAUUGAAGACUAACUACUGCGAAAGCAUUUGCCAAGGAUGUUUUCAUUAAUCAAGAACGAAAGUUAGGGGAUCGAAGACGAUCAGAUACCGUCGUAGUCUUAACCAUAAACUAUGCCGACUAGGGAUCGGAUGAUGUUAAUUUUUUAAUGACUCAUUCGGCGCCUUACG